AUGAGUGGUUGGAGAUAUUGUGGCUUGAUGUCCCUGGAGCAGUCAGACCCUUCCAAGAUAGGUCGAGCGACGGUGAGCACAUCCGACGCCAACACACCAAGGUUUUUGUGGUCGUGUCAUACACCAAUUACCGUCGAGAUGGGUAAUGGUAUGGGAAUGGGGCUCCAAGGAUGUGAAAAUGGUCGGGAAGACAGAGUUAGCAGCGACAUGUGUCCUCAAGCCGUCCACCCGUUUGAUUUCUGGACCCAUAUUUUAAUGGUUCUCUUGCAGGAAGUUGGUGACGAGUUAGUAGAACUUAUAGAAAUGUCGCUUUCAUUAGACAAUGACAUGCCAAAGACGCCACUGCCUAAGUUUUUAUUACAAUUGGUCGAGCUACAACGAGUGCGUCUGAUUCCAACUCAUCAAGGUGAGCUCCCUUUUUUAUUCUUCUCAGGUGUUGGUCAGGAGCUGAUUGUCGGGACUGAUGACAAGAACGGAGAGCAGGAUGAGUAUGUCAACAUGAUGUUCCUUGAUGUUGGCCUUCUUUUAUAA
rnacentral:rRNA from 1 species